AAUAGCAGCAGCUCUGUAAGAGAGGGAGAGUUGAGGACACCCCAUAAAGCUAAGAAUAUGAAUUGUGACAAUUGGAGAGGAAAAGAAAAUUUGUACUGUCUCUGAGAAUUUCUUGAGGAUGUGCGAAUCUACUGAGCUGAACAUGACCUUCCACUUGUUUAUUGUGGCGCUUGCUGGAGCUGGGGCAGCAGUCAUUGCUAUGGUUCACUACCUUAUGGUUCUGUCUGCCAACUGGGCCUAUGUGAAAGACGCCUGCCGGAUGCAGAAGUAUGAAGACAUCAAGUCGAAGGAAGAGCAAGAGCUUCAUGACAUCCACUCUACUCGCUCCAAAGAGCGGCUCAAUGCAUACACAUAAAUGCGUCUUCCUGUUCUUUCUACGAUUUGAAUGCAUUGGUGUUUAACUAAGGGCCAUCCAACCAUCCAACCUUUAAAAAACAAAACGAAAGUGCUUCUCAUCAAUGAUAUGUAAGGUGACUUAUGAAUCACCUGAGUACAAUUCUUUGUUGUUUAGCACUUAAAUUUCCCAAUUUAUUAAAUUGAUGUAAAUCAGAU
rnacentral:sRNA from 1 species